GGCGGCUCUGCCGAGGUGACAAUGUGCUAGGAGCCCCGCUCCGUGUCUCCUGCGCCUCCUCGGCCUGGGCGCCUCCUGUCAGCGCUCUCGGAGCCUCGCGGCCGCCUGCCGCGCUAUGAGGGAGCGUCUCCGGGGCUGGCCGAGGCCGGGGCCGCCUCGCUCUGCUCGCCGAGAAGUGUGAAGAGAGGCGCGGGCGGGAGCCCUGGCUGCGCGCGGCGGCGGCUCCAGGUGAGCGCGGAUCUCAGAGCAGCCGGCCACUGACCCGUCUGGAUCUAGGCAGCAUCCCAAGCGGGGACCGCGGAGCUCUCUCCGAGGGAUCAACAGCCACCAUAGCAGGUUACUAUUGUCCCCUUCUCUGCUGAAAGGACUGGGAACAAAACAUUUCAGAGCCAAGAACAUCAUUGCAGGCUGGCCUCACACUACUUACAAUGAUCCUCUUCCUUCAGCUUCUCAAGUGACAGAAAGACAGCACAACGAGUAAUUGGUUUUAAGAAAAGAAAGUUCUGAAAGUCAAGCCAAGACAACUGUACCACAUAAUUAGAGGUAAGGACUUCAGUUUAAGACUGUAGCAUCUAGAAGCUCACAGACAGAUGAAAAUCUCUGACAAUCGGGUGACAAAGGACAGUUAUGUAGUCCUCCUAAAAUGUAGACUGGUCACCAAGGUUUCUUUG
ensembl:lncRNA